rnacentral:rRNA from 1 species
UACGUAGGGUGCGAGCGUUAAUCGGAAUUACUGGGCGUAAAGCGUGCGCAGGCGGUUCGUUAAGUUCGAUGUGAAAGCCCCGGGCUCAACCUGGGAAUGGCAUUGAAAACUGGCGGGCUUGAGUAUGGCAGAGGGGGGUGGAAUUCCGCGUGUAGCAGUGAAAUGCGUAGAGAUGCGGAGGAACACCGAUGGCGAAGGCAGCCCCCUGGGCCAAUACUGACGCUCAGGCACGAAAGCGUGGGGAGCAAACAGG